UACGUAGGUGGCAAGCGUUGUCCGGAUUUACUGGGCGUAAAGGGCGUGCAGGCGGUCUGUUAAGUCUAGGGUGAAAGCUCCCGGCUCAACUGGGAGAGGUCCUUGGAUACUGGCGGACUUGAGGGAGGCAGAGGAAAGUGGAAUUCCCGGUGUAGUGGUGAUAUGCGUAGAUAUCGGGAGGAACACCAGUGGCGAAGGCGGCUCACUGGCCCGAUACUGACGCUGAGGUGCGAAAGCGUGGGGAGCAAACAGG
rnacentral:rRNA from 1 species